AGGGGGUAGCGCCAGAUCAUGGGCUGUGUAGCUGGUGCCCUGUGCCCUGGGGCCUGUGCUGUUGGAGUCACGCUCUCAGCUGCGCAGCCCCCU
rnacentral:pre_miRNA from 1 species